UGCGUUUGGACAAAAAAAAUUAUUGAUAUGUCAAUACAGAUUGAUUUGAAUAUAAUCGUCUCCUUCAAAGAAUACGGUUCAAAACCUGCAUUAAGUAAAGGUUAAUAGUUAACCUGUUAUUUAUCUAAGAUGUCGUUCCGAAGAGUUUUGUGACUGCCAAUGGAAUACAAAGUCAAUUAGUUUUUCUGAUUUACCAAUCAUUGUCCAAAAGUCAGAUUGCCGGCUUUGUUAAUAGUCGACUCAUAUAUUAAUAUAUCCUGAAAUAAAAAUGUUAUUAAGGCCGAAGCCAACUACCAUAGAUAAUAUACAUAAUAUAUUUCUACAAAACAAGCCGCUGUCGACUUUAUUUUUGCUACGUUCCUCUCUGGACCUCUGAUUAGUAAAAGAUAUUAGGCUCGACGCUGGCACCAAGACAUACCUUGAAGUCAAUUGCAAUACUGGAAAAAAGAAGAAGCAAAAACUCGAUACUGGCAACAGUCGUCUUAGCCUCUGGUUAGUGGCAGUCAACUGGUUUUGAAGUCGUCGUGACCUACAGGAUCGGUAGAAGACGUUCGGUACCAAUUUUCCUAAUAAAAUACGUACCUACAUAACAAAAUAUUUUCACGGUUGACAUGGUGAAGGAAUAACAUCGUGUAAUAUAUAAAAAUGAAUUGCUGUUCGUUAGUCUCGCUAAAACUCGAAAACGGCUGGACCAAUUUGGCUAAUUUUGGUUUUGAAUUAUUUGUGGAAGUCUAGAGAAGGUUUAAAAGGUAGAUAAAUAUGAAAAUGCUCGGAAUUAAAUAAAAAUACCCCGUCGGACGGA